rnacentral:misc_RNA from 1 species
AGACUCCUCUGAGUUAUCUUUUAUAGCAGUAACUUCCAAAUUAUUUUCAUCCACUUCAUUAUCAACUAACUUGGCCUCCAAUUCGGCUUCUGAGAACUGCUUAUCCAUCCCAUCUACUGCCUUAGUGUCCAAACCAUCUGAGUUUUUAAUAUCCUGAACUGGAAGUUCGCAAGCUGGUUUGUCGUCUACAGAAUUGGAAUCCCCUUGAUUAUUUGAAUCAAUCCCAACUUCUGAGGGGCUUUCAUCCAUCCCA